CACCCAAGGUGUAUAAUUAUGCUAAUAAUGCUUAUUUAAGUAUAAGUUAAUCAUAGAUGUUAAAUUAUGUGGAUUUAAGUGCUUACGUGUCCUUUAUGUGCUAUGUGACACAUACGAAUUAUGUUUGAAUUAUAUGCCAUGUAUAUGAUUUAUGUGUUAUGAGUCAAAUUUCCUAAGACAAAACAUAGAGAUUCAUAAAACAAGGUUAUGGGUCAAUGUGAAAAUAUUAUUGGGUCCUUAUUUGAAGAGAAUGUUAUGUGAUGGUUCAUUUGAUAAUUAGACCACCCUUCUUCUAGACAAAUCCAGACGUAGAAGGAAGAAAUAAAUAUCAGCCCCCACCCUCUCAUUCUUCCAACGUUCUCUCCCUCUCUCACUCCUCUCAAGAAAAAAAAAUCAAGAAGUCUCCCUCAUCUUCUACUUCUAGGGUUUUGCUUCUAGGGUUCAAUCAAGUUCUUGGAUCAAGAUUCUAUCUCUAAUCCAUCUCUCACCUAAGUGUUUGAAGCUCUCUCAAUCCAUGGUUUAAACCUAAAAGAGGAUUUGGUGAAUAAGAGAAGGAUAUAAAGGAUACAAGUUGAUGUUUACUUGAAGUGCAAAGGAAUAAUGAAAGUAGAAAAAAGACUUAUAUUUUUGGGCAUAUUUUGUACUUGAUUCUCUUAUGGACAAAGAUGUAUACAUUUUUGUAAAGUGAUGUACGUAAGCUAUGCAUGUUAGGAAUAGGUUAUCGAUGUUCAUGCUAAUGUAAUUAUUGUAUCAUGUAAAUUAUCAAUGUAUGGACGUUCUGGACCAAAUAGGUUGUGUUCAUUUCACUCAACCUCGUUUAUGGUUACCUUUA